GAAUGGAGGGUAAAAGCCUAGUU
rnacentral:siRNA from 1 species